rnacentral:rRNA from 1 species
GACGAACGCUGGCGGCGUGCCUAAUACAUGCAAGUCGAGCGGAUGGAAGGAAGCUUGCUUCCUAAAGUCAGCGGCGGACGGGUGAGUAACACGUGGGCAACCUGCCCCUAAGAUCGGGAUAACUUCGGGAAACCGGAGCUAAUACCGGAUAUGAUUAUGUCUCACAUGAGACAUAAUGGAAAGACGGUUUCGGCUGUCACUUAGGGAUGGGCCCGCGGCGCAUUAGCUAGUUGGUGAGGUAACGGCUCACCAAGGCGACGAGGCGUAGCCGACCUGAGAGGGUGAUCGGCCACACUGGGACUGAGACACGGCCCAGACUCCUACGGGAGGCAGCAGUAGGGAAUCUUCCGCAAUGGACGAAAGUCUGACGGAGCAACGCCGCGUGAGUGAAGAAGGUUUUCGGAUCGUAAAACUCUGUUGUUAGGGAAGAACAAGUACCAUAGUAACUGAUGGUACCUUGACGGUACCUAACUAGAAAGCCACGGCUAACUACGUGCCAGCCGCCGCCGUAACAC